rnacentral:snRNA from 1 species
GGAUGUGAAAGCAUCUGUUACCCCACUGAUCUUCAGGGUUGGUUUGGCUGAUCUGGCUGGCUAGGUGGGUGUCGCUUUCCUCACUCACUGCUUCCAUGUGCAUCCCUCCCAAAACUGUGUACUCAGUCCAAGAGGAUGACCUUCACUAAAUAAAGGAGGACUGGUCUUCAGUCAAAGGUACGUGAGUUGCUGUGCUCCCCUGCUAGAACCUCCAAACAAGCUCUUGGGGUCCAUUUAAUUCUUCAUUCUCAAAUUAACUCAUAAACACAGUUU